GAUGAACGCUAGCGGCAGGCUUAAUACAUGCAAGGCGAAGGGGCAGCAAUGUCACUGUCGUACGGGUGCGUAACGCGUAUGCAACCUACCUAUCACUGGGGGAUAGCCCGGGGAAACCCGGAUUAAUACCGCAUAAUACAGGGUAUCACAUGGUACUAUUUGUUAAAGAUUAUCGUGGUGAUGGCAUGCGUUCGAUUAGC
rnacentral:rRNA from 1 species